rnacentral:rRNA from 1 species
GUGAACGCUGGCGGUAGGCCUAACACAUGCCAGUCGAACGGCAGCACAGUAAGAGCUUGCUCUUACGGGUGGCGAGUGGCGGACGGGUGAGGAAUACAUCGGAAUCUACUUUUUCGUGGGGGAUAACGUAGGGAAACUUACGCUAAUACCGCAUACGACCUACGGGUGAAAGCAGGGGAUCUUCGGACCUUGCGCGAUUGAAUGAGCCGAUGUCGGAUUAGCUAGUUGGCGGGGUAAAGGCCCACCAAGGCGACGAUCCGUAGCUGGUCUGAGAGGAUGAUCAGCCACACUGGAACUGACACACGGUCCAGACUCCUACGGGAGGCAGCAGUGGGGAAUAUUGGACAAUGGGCGCAAGCCUGAUCCAGCCAUACCGCGUGGGUGAAGAAGGCCUUCGGGUUGUAAAGCCCUUUUGUUGGGAAAGAAAAGCAGCAGGUUAAUACCCCGCUGUUCUGACGGUACCCAAAGAAUAAGCACCGGCUAACUUCGUG